UGUUUUGCAGGGUAAAUGCUUACAAAACCUUAAGUUUUCUUAGACAGGUGAGAGACCGGACGUGUGCCAUAGGAGCAAAAAAUUGUUCCAGCGUGGGCCCCUACCACCCCAAGGACGCACAUCUACACGACAACACCCUGUGGAUUGCAGCCCUGGAGGAUGGAGCAGGCACAGUAUUCCAAGACACCAGAGUGGUACUCCACGCCACCAUGUAGAGGAUUGCUACAUAUGAGGAUGCAGGAACACAACUUGGAGAAGAAAUGGCCAAAUUGGAUGUGUGCUCUCUCAACCACCUCUAUGUCUAACCCAGUAGUUAAAGUCAAAAGUGAUAUACAGUACAAGCAGCAUGGUAGAGUUAAUAUCUAUUACAUUUAUAUUUAUUCAUAUACUUCCCCAAUGCCAUACGUUUCUUUAAGGGGGUUGGUGAUCUACAGUAUGGACUGGAAUAACUAGUGAUUUUGGGAGGGGAAAUUUGCUUAUUUGCUCCAUACCAGACAUUUUGCAUCUAUUUGGUAUUCAAACACACAGAAAACUCUCAAACGUGAGUGGGAUAGCUAAAUACCGGGAUUGCUAUGUGUAGGCAACCCCAGCAAAUUCUCCAUUAGAUACCUUUUCCCUGCGCCUACGGGUCGGGAUAGAUCUCUCACUGUUGUUUGUGCCUACAGGCCGAAUGACAGUGCAGAGCACCGGACCUUUUUGGAGUCUUUGGGAGGGGUGCUGGAAAGUGCUCCGACUGGGGACUCCAUCGUUCUACUGGGGGACUUCAGUAGCUGCCCUUUUCCAACAGUCAGGUGAAGAUGCUCUCGUAUGUGAAGAAGCAAGGGCUAGUUUUGCAACAAAAUGGCAAAAACAAAUGUGUUGCCCUGAGCCCCCUUUUUCAAAUGGUCUGUAUUACUACCUUCAGAGAGGGAUUGUAUGAAUGCAUUCUUUGGUUUAGGAUUAUGAGUUGUGUCCUCAUCGCUCUAUCAAAGUGUGGACUAGUUUUGAUGGACAGCAAAUCUGUUCAGAGAUCUGUUCCUGUGUUAUGACAAGUCAUUCAACUACUCAAAAUGACUACUAAUUGCAGCAUACUGUUCAUGUGAACAGAGAAAAAGUAUUAGUUUUACAUUGACCAUUGUACCCUUUUAAAAUAAUUAGUGUUAUUAAUUGGCUUUGGCUCCAUGUCUGUGGAAAAACUCAGCAGCAGAAGGAACUUUGUUUCCAAUAUUAUUAUGUAUAGUAUAUUUCUAACUGUACUGAUGAGGAUGGGGUGGGUAGAAUGAUCUAUUAUCACUGAACUGUGUCGAAUGGACAGUCCCUUUUGUAACAAUCCCCUAGUAACAAGUUCAAUUAGGUUUGCUGCAAAUGUAAUUACUAUACUAUAUUUUCUGCCCUUAAGGUUCUUCCAAUGUAAAGUUUUUUUUUUAAAUGAUGACUGCUUAUAUUUAUUUUAUGUUGUCUCUUUGUUAUUCUUAACGCUUAAACUUGCUGCUGCCUAUCUUGGCAAGGAUGCUCCUUAAAAACUGAUUUUUAAUCUCAAUGAGCCUUUCCUGAUUAAGUAAAUAAGUGUUGGAAAUUAUUAUUGUGGAAGCCAAUUUGAACACUUAAUAUACUUUUUCUUGAAAACAAGAACUGUGUUACCUGUAGAAAAGUCUCAAUCAUAGAUCUCCUGGUAUACUUUAGGAAUAACCUUGUGAGUGUGAAUGUAACAAUAAUGAGUUUGAGUGUAACAUUUGAAGAUGUUGUAAUAAUUAGUUGUGUAGAUUGGUUGCCAUGACAAAUCAAUCAACUAAUAAAGCACUGUAAUUUCAAGACUCAAUAUAUGCCCAUGUUUUGUAAGCUGUUUUACCAUUUACCAUUUGUCUGCUGUGCCUCUUAAAAUUUUAUAAAUGUAAUUAACGCAUACUGCCCAUACUGCAUAGUUAUGUUUACAUUAUGAUUUUGGGUUAGUUCUGUUCCACAGCUAACUAGCUAAAUUAAAACACGCUGUCAUUUGUAUAUAUCAGUUUUCCAGCCAGCUUCAUCUUAGCCUGUUAGAUAUCUAACAUAGGUGCACGAGAUGAUUGUUCAGUGAAUACAAUCGACACGUUUUAUAUAUGGAAUUUG